rnacentral:rRNA from 1 species
CCUACGGGCGGCUGCAGUGGGGAAUAUUGCGCAAUGGGCGAAAGCCUGACGCAGCGACGCCGCGUGGGUGAUGAAGGCCUUCGGGUCGUAAAGCCCUGUCGAGAGGGAAGAAACAUUCCGGACCUAAUACGUCCGGGAAUUGACGGUACCUCUUAAGGAAGCACCGGCUAACUCCGUGCCAGCAGCCGCGGUAAUACGGAGGGAGCUAGCGUGGUUCGGAAUCACGGGGCGUAAAGGGUAAGUACGAGGUGAAAUCCCCUCGCUCAACGAGGGAACUGCGUCUGAUACUGGCAGACUCGAGUACCGGAGAGGAAGGUGGAAUUCCCGGUGUAGCGGUGAAAUGCGUAGAUAUCGGGAGGAACAUCGGUGGCGAAGGCGGCCUUCUGGACGGAUACUGACGCUGAGACGCGAAAGCGUGGGGAGCAAACAGGAUUAGAUACCCGAGUAGUC